UAAGUCUUUGACCUCAGCUCGUCUUACAAGGCAUUGGUGACAACUGAUCUAUUCUCUGUUUUUUUGCCUGCUUUCCAACCUUAGAGAGAUCUAGAUACGCUUGCAGGAAGCCGAGCAAAACGAGAGGAGCGAAUCCAACCUACUUGGUUCUUGGAUGUGCCUGCACUAUUGCUUUCUUCAGAACUUCUUGUCAAGGUGGAAUCUUCUCUUGUUUGGAGAUGCAGGACGAGGUCAAAGUGACGAUGAUCAUGACGGUUUCCGGUCAUUUGACUCGCGAUGUAGUCGUACAAGGUGAAACCACAAUGGUCAAGAAGUGCCUCUUCCUUGUUGUCACAGGGUGCUAACUGGCAGCUUUCCUUGCUCUCACACAGAUCAAUAUCUCUCCUAUGCUAUGGGCAUCUGCAUGCUGUAAUUACAACUGCGUAUCGUACUAGUUUGUUGAAAUAGCGGUUUGCGCAUACUGUAAAUGUCUUAGAAAUAUUCAAGCACAGUAACUGACGUA